UCCAACGUAUGUACGUUUCUUGAUUAAGUGGUAAAGAAUGCCUUGCUCAGAACACUAUUAAUCAGAUUUGCACAACAACAGGGGAUAUGAAAUGAAUCUGCGGCACAGUGUGAGGUCCCAAACGAACAAUUUAAGAUGACUCCAACACACACAGGCGACUAAAACAAGCGUGAGCGUGUAUUUACUAGCAAAACGUGUCCCAGUGACAGAGCUGCCUUCAGUUCAACGAGAGCCGCAGCCGGGACAGGAACACAUUACCAUACGUCGUUUCUUCGAUGGUGCUCACAUUCUUUUUGACAAUAAAUUACUUUCGGAAAGCGAAAUCACACGGAGAGCAAAGCGAGAAAGAUAGCCUUGCGAAACCGAAACUUUAGAGGGGAUCACGUGGUGGACAGGACGUAAUGGCGAUUUUGACUCGAGCGACCGCUAGAGCGUGGCUACGCUAGUCUGGAUCGGAGAGCCGCUCCUUGUGUUUCCUUCCUCCAACCCCAGAGGUAAGGUGCUACCCGAAAGUCGAGACGGAGUCGUCGCGUUCCCCCAUGACUGCUUCCCGAGACUCGUUCGAGGCGAGCGAAUCCUCCGCUGAACUGGCAGAGCCGACGUUGCAUUUAGUACUGCUCCGCGAGGCAGUCAUUCGAUGCGAACUAACAAAACUAAGAGUUCACAGCGAGCGGUCUGAAGCAUCUCGAUCAGGCAGCACGAGGACAACGGCGUCCGCAGCCCUUUCCUUGGCGGAGCCGACGCUAUCCUUCAGAACUGCUCUACGAGAGAGAGAGAGACUCAUUCGGAGCGAGCGAUACCGUCAAAGCGAAUGGUUUGGAGCGUCUCAUUCACUGAACGAGAGAGCGAUGUCGCAAGCAGGUCAUUCAGUCGGUUAUUCCAUUCAAUUCGUCGUUCUCCUCGCUUCUUCUCGGCAGGGCUGGCACAUCCGCGCAUGCGCUCAGGGCGAUCAACGCUCCGCUGCUAAAGCUAAAGUUCGCGGCGGACAACAUAGGUGGCAACGCCGUCGCGAGCAGCGCUCUCAAACAGCAUGACGGCGAAUUGCAGAAAUUGUGCAACAAGCGAUGAAUAUAGAGAGACGAAGGGUGUCACUGAACUGAACUGGUCAACGAAUGUUUUUGUCAUUGGUGAAUGAGUUGACUUAGUUCACACGACUGAGUCGUUAAGACUGAACGAAUCAUUCACGACUGACACAUCACUAGGCCCCAUAGUUAGAGAUAAUUCACACAACACUCUGCACACGACCGAUGAAACUGCAACAUUGUAGAUAUUAUGUAUAACCAGUCGGCAAAUCAGGAGCCUCGAUGUUUGGAUGGCCUUUCGACCGGUCCUGGCUACCAUCGACUUCUAUUGGAUUUCACGCCUGCCGCUGUUAUUCGGUAAAGCGACUGUUUGCUAAAAGAAACAUUUAUUUGACACAAAGCAUUGAUUCAGAGACCUGGUAGGUGGGUGCCCUGAGCGUACAAAGCCCACUGUGUUGCAGACACACUGGAACGAAGUUCAAACGUGAGGCAGAACGAACACACCGUUCAAUUCCUAAUACCGAGCCAGUCUCAUGAGUGCGUACUAUUUCAUGAUGAGCAUGUUUUCUUCGCUGCUUGUAGUAUAUCAUACAUAACGGCGAAGCGGAAAGCGCUUGUGUGGCACGUAAUCUUGUCUUUGUUGUCAGUUCUCGAAAUUCGACGGCACCCGAACCUAUUCUUCACGAUCCAACUCAUGAAGCAUUCCAGUUUCGAAGUUGAUACACUGUUCGUCGGAUAAUACUGGUGUCUAGAAGCAGCACAACAUACGUAAAAUCGCACUGACGCAUGGAUAAACCGGCGGACGUAUUUCUACAAACUAUUCUGUCGAUUGACACCACCAAAACACGGAACACAGGAGGACGCCAUGCCGGCCGUGCCCUGCUAUUUCGAAACUAUGCUGAAAUGGCCGAGAGGCUGCAUGCACAUACGCACGUACAAAAUGCGAUUUCAUAACAUUGUUGACCAAUCGGAGCGCGUACACAGUCUCGACCAAUGGGCAUGCAACGAGGUGUAUGGGCACAGUGGCACAUAUUCUACAGCCACAUCCGCGGGUACCUCAGGAGGGCUGGUUUCUCGUCGUCGCAUGUAGUUCGCAUAAUUUCGAGCGUUCCGCACUAACCGUCUAACAUUCCGUCUCUCCCGUUCCGUCUAACAUUGCAACUGUCCGUAAGUGGAAGCGCUUCUUCCAGCUGCCAGCAGACCUGUCAGUCUCGUUUGAAAUGUUAAAGAGUGAAGACGCAGUCCUGGAUCUGAAGCCGAAUUGCUCUUCGCCUUCAGGAUUUUUGCAGUUUCAGGUAUGUAAUUAAUAUAACAGCGAAGUAAUAUGUUCGACUGCGUCAUGCAUUCUCAUUGUCCAUUUUACUCUAUUUGCAGGCAAUCUGAACAACGACAGGGAGAUAGAACGACUGGAUAAAUCUGGUUAGCGACUGUAUGCUUUGUGCAGACAGUAUGUCAUGUGUCUCGACACUACUCUACAUGGAUAUGCCGCCAUCGUGUUUUAUGAAAUGAUAUUUCUUGCACGCAAGCCACACGCAAGAGAGAUGCAAGCAUCGCCUUCAGUGUGGUGGGGACUCAUUACUCAUGGACGUCAUGACAAGGUCUGGAAGUGCUUUCGCGGAAGCAGGACAAGUUGGAGCGGAAAUGAGGUCCUAGGCUCCGACCAUACGAAGCAGGACGAAGAAGAAACCACCGAAGAGAGAACAUGCCAUUAGCGCGACGCUGAUCACCACGAGAAUGGCGACCACCAGCUGGUUCUCCAUCAUCUGAAAUUAUAUUGUUUCAGACCAUAAACAAUGCUGCCAGCAAUGGAGUCUCUGGAGCAUCGAGGCAGCACUGGCCAAUGUGGUGCACAACUAUGUUGAGCGUAGCAGCGAAUGCCGUAGUGUGCGAGAGGCAGCGUUCCUUUGUUGUCCGCCCUAAAAGUUUCACAGGUGCUCGUGAUAUCUUGAACUGGGAGUGGUGAAAGCAGCGAUGGCUUAUUCUAUGAGCAGUCUCAUAGUACAGAUAAGAUUGGCUGCAAAGGAAAUGAGCUACCUUUCCACAUCUGACUGCGCUGUUCUCCAAGGUUCCUUGUUUUUUGUAUAACCGCAGCUGGUUGUUGAGUGAGCUAGUGUCGCUGUUUGUAGUUUUGUAUGAACUAAUAGCUUCUGUUACAGUAGUCAGAGAGCUUGAACUGCAUGUGAUUUCGUCACAUCGCUAGACAGCGUCAAGCAUGUGUAAAGGACCUGGUGUCUCUCUACAACAAUGAAGAGCAGGGCAUAAACAAGAAGACGAAGAUAUUGCUUGGACAUGCCAGUGAUUAGGCUGCUUCCGUAUCACACCAUCUGUACUCCGAAAAAUGCUGCGGGAUGACCGUUGCGAAGAGGCGUAUCGACCAUCCAUGUAAUUAUUGUUAUUAUUAUGACCAUUAUCAUUUUAUUAUAUUAUCUUUUUUGCACAUGUUUCAUUACUUGAUUUAAGAUUUUAAUAAACAAGCACAUAAACGGUCAUUUCCCUCAUUAUCUUAUUGAAUAUUCACUAUUACACAUUUGUACUAUUGUAUUUGGACCCAGUUAGGUUUGGGGAUACCUGUGCUUUUGCCCCAGCAGAAGUGGAGUGGCAUAGUAGGAAGAGGUAGCAAUAGGCAACGUAGAAUAAACAGUAAUUCACAACAUUUGGUGAACGCUCUAUCAACGUAGAAAAAAACAGCAGUCAACGUAGAAAUAGUGUUAUAAAAUUAUAGAUUUUACGUGUUUUUGACCGGACAUUUUCUACGUAGAAUCUACGCUGCACUCUAUCGCUGUUCUACGAUGGUGUUGUAGAUUUACAAUGUUAUUUCAACGUUGAUUCUACAUUUCGUUGUUGACUGGGGGCCUGAAAGCUCCCAAGAAGAAGCUGUGCCACACAUAAUUCCCUUCCCUGCCACAUUGGAGCUCUCUACAUGCUCCAAACCGCCGUUACACGGAACGCUGUCCGCUACAGGAAAUAGUGUACCGCCCUCCACCCUGGCAAUUUCAUGCUGCAGCUUCUCCACAAAGUGCUUUCGAGCAUUGUGUACACCAACCACGUGUAAUUCGUCACCGCUGUGGCUUAGAAUGAACAUCAUUUGUGCUGAAUUUUGCUCCGAGGGUAUCUGUAUUUUUUAAUUUCUUGUUCUGUGUGUAUUUUAGAGCCGGUUACGUCUGGUCUGAUUUACAGAUCAGAAGCUCUACAAUCUUAGAAUGUGUCUAUGGGUAGCUCUUUUUUUUGCAACACAAAAAAUAAGAAUUCCAUAUUCAAUUGCAAAUUUCUGUCUCAUCUUGCCCCACCUUACUUCACUUCUACAGAGAUUACUUCUUGCGAAGAACCAAGGCGUAAACUCCGUAGCAAAAGUUAUGUUACAGGGUGUGUAUAGAAUACAGCGCAAUGAACAAGUGGCAAAAAAAAGAAAAAAGAAAAAGAAAAUAGAAGUCGUUAUAUUUUACCUUCCCAUAUUAAAAUUAUGAUUUCUCGCGCGCGCUUGUUCAAUCUUACCUAAACUACUGCAGUUUGGUUCGGAUCACCACGA